CCUACGGGAGACUGCAGUAGGGAAUUUUCGUCAAUGGGCGCAAGCCUGAACGAGCCAUGCCGCGUGAACGAGGAAGGUCUUCUGAUCGUAAAGUUCUGUUGAAGGGGGAAUAAAGCGGAGAGAGGAAAUGCUUUCUGAUUGAUAUUACCCUUCGAGGAAGUCACGGCUAACUACGUGCCAGCAGCCGCGGUAAUACGUAGGUGGCGUGCGUUGUCCGGUAUGGUUGGGUGAAAAGGGUGCGUAGGCGGCCUGCUAAGUCUGGAGUGAAAGGUACCGGCUCAACCGGUACAGGCUCUGGAAACUGGCGGGCUAGAGAGCAGGAGAGGGCGGUGGAAUUCCAGGUGUAGCGGUAAAAUGCGUAGAUAUAUGGAAGAACACCAGUGGCGAAGGCGGCCGCCUGGCCUGUUACUGACGCUGAGGCACGAAAGCGUGGGGAGCAAAUAGGAUUAGAUACCCUGGUAGUC
rnacentral:rRNA from 1 species